ACCACUGAGCCACCUUCCCAGCCCUUAAAAAUAUUUUUAAGAAAAAGAAAUAAUAGGGCUGGGAAGGUGGCUCAGUGGU
rfam:Dipodomys ordii contig_68343, whole genome shotgun sequence.